rnacentral:rRNA from 1 species
UACAGAGGGUGCGAGCGUUGUUCGGAAUUACUGGGCGUAAAGCGCGCGCAGGCGGUCUUCCAAGUCAGUGGUGAAAGCCCGGAGCUCAACUCCGGAACUGCCAUUGAAACUGUUAGACUUGAGGAUGAGAGAGGUGAGUGGAAUUCCCAGUGUAGAGGUGAAAUUCGUAGAUAUUGGGAAGAACACCGGUGGCGAAGGCGGCUCACUGGCUCAUUACUGACGCUCAGGCGCGAUAGCGUGGGGAUCAAACAGG